UCGAGAAUUUUUCACAAUGGGCGCAAGCCUGAUGGAGCGACGCCGCGUGGGGGAUGAAUGGCUUCGGCCCGUAAACCCCUGUCAUUUGCGAUCAACCGUUGUUGUUUAAGAGAUGACAACCUGAUAGUAGCGAAAGAGGAAGGGACGGCUAACUCUGUGCCAGCAGCCGCGGUAAUACAGAGGUCCCAAGCGUUGUUCGGAUUCACUGGGCGUAAAGGGGGCGUAGGUGGCAAGGUAAGUAGGAUGUGAAAUCUCCGAGCUCAACUCGGAAAUGGCAUUGGAAACGGCUGUGCUCGAGGGUUGGAGGGGGGACUGGAAUACUUGGUGUAGCAGUGAAAUGCGUAGAGAUCAAGUGGAACACCAGUGGCGAAGGCGAGUCCCUGGACAACUCCUGACACUGAGGCACGAAAGCUAGGGGAGCAAACA
rnacentral:rRNA from 1 species